rnacentral:rRNA from 1 species
AACGAACGCUGGCGGCAUGCCUAACACAUGCAAGUCGAACGAGACCUUCGGGUCUAGUGGCGCACGGGUGCGUAACGCGUGGGAACCUGCCCUUAGGUUCGGAAUAACUCCCCGAAAGGGGUGCUAAUACCGGAUAAUGUCUUCGGACCAAAGAUUUAUCGCCUUUGGAUGGGCCCGCGUUGGAUUAGCUAGUUGGUAGGGUAAAAGCCUACCAAGGCGACGAUCCAUAGCUGGUCUGAGAGGAUGAUCAGCCACACUGGGACUGAGACACGGCCCAGACUCCUACGGGAGGCAGCAGUGGGGAAUAUUGGACAAGGGGCGAAAGCCUGAUCCAGCAAUGCCGCGUGAGUGAUGAAGGCCUUAGGGUUGUAAAGCUCUCUUACCCGGGAUGAUAAUGACAGUACCGGGAGAAUAAGCUCCGGCUAACUCCGUG